UGGCGCGGCGCGGCCUCCCGGCUCCAGGCUCAGGCGAGGGGCCGGCCCGGAGGACGAACGGACCGACCGACGCACCCUCGUAGGCACCGUGGGGCGUAGCGCGGGCGGCCCGGGGUGCGACGGGCAGGGCGCGCCGGGGCAUGGGCGCGCCGGAGGUGUCGGUGCGCAGGCCGGGCUGGGCGCGCUGGCCGGGGUUCCGGGACAGCGGCGGGCGAGGGUCUUCCCUGGCGACCGCCGCUGAGCCCCCGCGGGGCCCGUGACGCCGCGGCCGAUGUGGCCCCGCGCGUUGCGGGCCUGCACCGCCGCCGCACAAAGACGCCGCCGCAGCCGCCGCCUGCACCCGGGCCGCAGCCGCCGCGCCAGCCCUAGCCCCAGGCGGAGCCCCGGCCGCAGGGCAGCAGGCGUCCGCCCGCGGCCCGCUCCGGCAUGGAGAAGCGCGCGGCCGCGGGGCCGGAGGGGUCGCCGGGCGCCAGGGCGCCGCUCGCAGUCGUCUGCCUGGUGAACCUCUUUCUCACUGGGAGGCUGAGCAGCGCAGUUCCCGCCUUAGGCAAAACAGGAGCUACGUGGGGUUUCGGGUUUCAGGCUGCCACUGAGCCCACUGGGACUCAAGCUGCCUGCAGUGGGAAGUUGGAACAGCAUACUGAACGACGAGGGGUUAUCUACAGUCCAGCCUGGCCCCUCAACUACCCACCAGGCACCAACUGCAGCUGGUACAUUCAAGGGGACCGUGGUGACAUGAUCACCAUCAGUUUCCGAAACUUUGAUGUAGAGGAGUCUCACCAGUGUUCCCUUGACUGGCUCUUGCUGGGCCCAGCAGCUCCUCCUCGCCAGGAGGCCUUCCGCCUCUGUGGCUCAGCCAUCCCACCGGCCUUCAUCUCUGCCCGUGACCACGUCUGGAUCUUCUUCCACUCAGACGCCUCCAGCUCCGGCCAGGCCCAGGGCUUCCGCCUCUCCUAUAUUCGAGGGAAGCUGGGCCAGGCAUCCUGCCAGACAGAUGAGUUCCGCUGUGACAAUGGUAAAUGCCUGCCUGGUCCUUGGCAGUGCAACAUGGUGGACGAGUGUGGAGACGGCUCAGAUGAGGGUAACUGUUCAGCGCCUGCCUCGGAGCCACCAGGCAGCCUGUGCCCCGGGGGCACCUUUCCCUGUAGCGGAGCCCGCUCCACACGCUGCCUGCCGGUGGAACGGCGCUGCGACGGCACACAGGACUGCGGUGACGGCUCUGAUGAGGCUGGCUGCCCCGACCUAGCAUGUGGCCGGCGGCUUGGCAGCUUCUAUGGUUCCUUCGCUUCCCCAGACCUGUUUGGCGCCGCCCGUGGGCCUUCGGACCUUCACUGCACUUGGCUGGUGGACACGCAGGACCCGAGGCGUGUGCUGCUGCAGCUGGAGCUACGGCUGGGUUAUGAUGACUAUGUCCAGGUGUAUGAAGGACUGGGAGAGCGUGGGGACCGUCUGCUGCAAACGCUUUCCUACCGCAGCAACCACCGGCCCGUGAGCCUGGAAGCUGCGCAGGGCCGCCUCACUGUGGCCUACCAUGCUCGUGCGCGCAGUGCUGGUCACGGCUUCAAUGCCACAUACCAGGUGAAGGGCUACUGCCUCCCAUGGGAGCAGCCUUGUGGGAGCAGCGAGGGAGAUGACGACAGCACAGGGGAACAAGGCUGCUUCUCAGAGCCACAGCGCUGUGAUGGCUGGUGGCAUUGUGCAAGUGGCCGGGAUGAGCAGGGAUGCCCAGCAUGCCCUCCAGACCAGUAUCCCUGUGAGGGUGGUAGCGGCCUGUGCUAUGCACCUGCCGAUCGUUGCAACAACCAGAAAAGCUGCCCGGAUGGCGCCGAUGAGAAGAACUGCUUUUCCUGCCAGCCGGGCACCUUCCACUGUGGUACGAACCUGUGCAUCUUUGAGACGUGGCGCUGUGACGGUCAGGAGGACUGCCAAGAUGGCAGCGAUGAGCAUGGCUGCCUGGCUGCCGUGCCCCGCAAGGUCAUCACCGCCGCCCUCAUUGGCAGCCUAGUAUGCGGACUGCUGCUUGUUAUUGCCCUAGGCUGUGCCUUCAAACUCUACUCCCUGCGCACGCAGGAGUACAGGGCCUUUGAGACCCAAAUGACACGCUUAGAGGCAGAGUUUGUGCGGCGCGAGGCCCCCCCAUCCUACGGUCAGCUCAUCGCACAGGGCCUCAUCCCACCAGUUGAGGAUUUUCCUGUCUACAGUGCAUCCCAGGCUUCAGUGCUACAGAACCUUCGCACGGCCAUGCGACGACAGAUGCGUCGGCAUGCCUCCCGCAGGGGGCCAUCUCGUCGCAGACUGGGCCGCCUCUGGAACAGGCUCUUCCACCGGCCGCGGGCACCUCGAGGCCAGAUCCCACUGCUGACCGCCACACGUACCUCACAGACCGUGCUGGGUGAUGGGCUCCUCCAGGCAGCACCAGGGCCUGUCCCAGAGCCUCCAGCGCCCAAUACAGACACAGGCAGCCCCAGGGAGGCUGGAGAUGGGCCUCCUAGUAGCUCUGGCCAUGCACCAGAAGUGGGGCCUUCAGUGCCACCCCCACCCUUGAACCUGCGAGACCCAGAGUACAGGCCAGAGGACAAGGAGAGAAAGGCCUGUGUGGGCCCUCUGGAAGACAGCCCAGCUCCUGUGGACACACCUCCAGAGCCCUGCUUGGCACAAGACCCCCAGACUCCCACUGCCAGUGGCACUCAAGAGCCCCACUCAGCAGAGCCACUGGGGGUCUGCAGGAGCCCUCCACCAACCUGCUCCCCAAUAUUGGAGGCUAGUGAUGAUGAGGCCCUGCUGGUCUGCUGACCUGUUGGACACUGGUGACUGCCACAGCCCCGCUUUGGAACCAGGGAAUACACAGUCAUUUCUACCCGGCCUCUGCAUUCUUUCUUACAGAGACCCACCUAGCAGCCCCAGUGAAGGGCCUGGGUGCUCCGUCAGUGGGCUACCUCUGCAAUCCUACUGCUCUGAAGAGCUGCUUUGCAGGGGCUUCGGGGGUUGGCCUGGGAAAGAGGGAGGGGCGACAAGACCACCUUUGAGAGCAAGCAUGAGCAUAGUUCCUUGGAGUCUCACAGCAAAUUGCUCUCUACCAUACUGAUCUGGGGAUUCAUUUCCAGAAAAGCAGGAGAGCCAAAACCAGGUUUUCUGGAAUGUCUUCUGUGGCUUCUCAGUUCAUUCAUCCUGCGGCACCAGCUGCCCAUCCCCAGACUGUGCCAGGAGCUGUAGUUGAGGCCUGAAAAGGCCAUGGGGAGGGGUUGGACCUCAUUCAUGAACACUCCCAGGAAGAAGAUGGGGACCCCAGUGAGGAUAAUGAUGAUGCCAACCCCACAGACCAUGGGCUCCGAGACGAAGCUGAAGACCAGUAGGAAUGCCCAGAACACCAAGUACACAACAGGAAUGAGGAGGUUCACCUAUCGGAGAAAGGAUGAACAGGAGCACCAGGGAGCAGCACCCUAGUUCUUUUGCCACCCAGGGGAUCAGAGGCACUGCCUCCAUCUCUUGGGAAUGGGGCCCCUGUGCUGGCCCCUCUGGUAGCUAUGCAGUGUACUGGAGAGCAAUUCCUGGGUUGACCAGUUGGCCAAACUGCUGAGGCUGUCUAUUUGAGCAGUACUGAGCUGUCUGUAACAGUUAUACACAGAAAGCUGUUUAUAUUUGGCUGCCGCUCAACUAUUUUUCCAUGCUUCGAAUUUCAGGCAAUCUUCAGGAUUCAUAUACAGAUGGGAGGCUAUCUGUCACCCUUUCAUGUGGGAUCAUGAGAAUACCAGGCUUUGUGACUGGCAGCCAAUAUGACCUUAAUCUCAUUGUCCCUGUCUGUGGACUGGGGAUACUAAAAGCACUUGCUUCCUGGGGUGAGAGGAGAGAAUAUGUGGGUGGGUAGAAAGCCCUACACUCUGCAAAUGCUGUAGUCCAUUGUCAUCAUCACCUAUACCUGCUUCUAGUGCUCAACUUGGAUGAAGAUGGCCCUGUUAUUUCCAGCCUCACCUUAAUGGGCCUGUGGAGUGCCGGCCGUCUCCAGCGCAGCACAAGCAGGCCCAGGAUAGUGACUCCGUAGCAGAGGUAGUUGAUGAAGGACACAUAGUUGAUGAGUGUGUAUGUGUCACCCACGAGCAUGAUGACCGCUGUGGCCCCGCACUGGGAGAGGACCAAGGGCUGACAGCUGGCCUCCCACCUGCUUCUGGCCAUCCCUGUAGGCUUCUCUGGGCCUUCCCACUCAGGUCAGGAGGUCAGGUGAGUCCCAGCCCAUCCCAACCCUCCAUAGCUCAUUUACUAUAGGCAGGAAUAAGUUUUGGCCAUUAUCCCACAAGCCCCCAUUGCUAGGUGUCCCUGGCUACAUGCACUAGCUGGUUGAGUUUCCCAACUUACACAGACAAGGAGGGCAGGAAUUGGGGUGCAGCGUCUGACAUGAAUCAUGGCCAGAAAGCUGGGUAAGUGUCCCUCUCGGGCUCCAGAGAAGCAUAGCCUAGGCACAGGGAAGGAGAUGGAUAAGGGCCAGAGCCUGGCCUUGAGGCUUCUCUGCUGCUUGCUAGAACCCAGCUGUCACAUUGACCUCUGCCCUCCAGGCCCUACCAGCUCUCCUCAUGUGUUCUGCCUCCUGGCUUUCUUUACUUCAAGACUGAGAUCAGACAUUUGUUACUGGAGAGUCUCAGCUUUCCCUUCCUAAGGUCCCUAUCGUGGUGUGCACACAGCAAAGACAUCUGCCUCAUCUCACCUAUACCAUCCUCUCCCCCUUUCCUCAGACCAGUCACCUGGAUGAGGUGAACAGGUAGCCAUUGAUCCCUCCAAAAGUAGAGAGUGCCACAGAGGCAGGCAUGACCCACGAAAAGUAGCCCAGCAGCUUCUCGCCGAAGGUCUGCAUGGGCACAGAAAAGAGGCCAAGUGUGAGGCUGGGGAAAGGGAAGGGCUGCAGAGGGAGCUGAGGUCCCCACUCACCACGGCCACUGCAUUGGAGGACAGCAACUCCUGGGGAGACAUGGCAGUGAAGUAGGCGACAUUGGUGAAUGUGUACACAAAGGUGACCAGCGGGAUGGAAAUGAAAAUGGCUCGAGGUAGGUUCCUGAGGACAGAGACUGGAGUGUCAGUGUCAAUUCCUGGUACAAAGAUAGAGUUGUAUAUAGUGAGGGGAACUUGGAGUCUUGAUCUGCAUCUGCCCAGGGGAUGGCAGGGACAUACUGCUGUCUGCCUUUCCCCCAAACCCCUGUCUGAGCACCAGGUGACAGAAAGAGGGACAGAUGAGAGCCGAGGCCACCGGGAUGAGGACACAUCAUCUCCUGAGGGCAGGAUCUAAUUAAUGUCUGGAUAGAGACAAAAAAACGUGUGCAGCCAGAGUCAGCCUAGAAAAUCUCCCAGAUGCCUUCAGAGCUCAGCCCUCAGGUCUGAGGUCUCCCUAGAGAUUCUCCACCUGCCCCUGCCCCUGCAGCAGCUAUUGUCCCUGUCAAGGUCCCUGGCUGAGCAUCAGAUGGAACAUCACCGGGCUCUAGCCUUCAGAACCACAUUGUGUGCAUAUGGAUAGUUUGGGGCCAGAUGUAAAUCGCUAAACACAGCAGGGAAAUGAUAUUCAAGUCUUUCUGAGGCCUCAUGAGAGGCCCAGUUGCAGCUGCAGACAGGGAAGAGUACAGCUUCAAAAGGGCUCUUUUGAGGGCUGUUGUCAUGACAGCAAUCGUGGUCAGUGGAUGACCAGUCUGAGCUGCACAGAAGAUCUGUGACGACAACUGCUUUGAGCGGGUGCUUCACUUACUUGCGAGGGUCAACCAGCUCUUCGGUGACAUAGUUGAGGAAGUUCCAGCCACUGAAGGCAAAAGAACCUUGGAGGAAAGCCAGGGCUAGGUGACCCACAGAUGGUGUCAUCCAGAAGGCGAAGGCAUUGGUGGGUCUCAGCUCUUCAAAGUGUCCUGGGAAGUCCAGACGUCAGGGGUUAGCACAGUCUCCCGAGUCUCUCCAGUGAUUCCCACCCAGUUCUACCUUGGAAGAUCUGGACAAAGCCAACGGUGAUGAUGAGAGACAGUGCCAGCAGCUUCCCGCCAGUGAAGAUAACCUGGAUGCGCGUGGCCCAGCGCACACUGGAGCUGUUCACCCACGUCAGGAGCACUGGAGAAGGAAGGGGUAUGGAUGCCUGAGGCUGAGCCACUCGUGGUAGCCCAUAGCCAGAUCUAGGCUAGAGGAACAGCCCCUGCAGCAGCCCUGGGUCUCAAGGUUGAUGUUACAGGUGAUAGCAGCUAGGAGCUCCCUCUCCACUUUCCUCCCAGCAGAGUGGGCCGAGAAUAUCAUGGGGUGGGGUAUCCAGCUGCUGUGGGGACAGAGGAUCAGGGACACUCACUCAGGCAGGCCAUGGAGAGUACUCGUGAGGCUGUGGCUGGGGGGAUACAGUUGGGAAAGACAGGCUGAAGCACAUAGUUGGAGAAGGUCAUGGAGAUGACAGCCAGGCUGGUGGGAUACAUGAUGAGGACAGCACUCCAGAGCAGUAGGAAUCUGUGAGCAAUCAAGGGCCAGCAUGGUACAGGCACACCCCUUGCCUGCUCCAGAUGUGAGCAUCUGGGAUAGAUGGGGACCAGCUUCCAAGAGCUGGUGAGCUGCCAGAGGCUGGGGAGGCGGCUAUCGGAACAACUGGAAACUGAUACCAGGCUGUUCCCUGAGCCCAGCCUUCAAGCCAUAGCAUUAUCUAAGGCUCUCGGGGUACUUUGUGGUUUAAGAUGAUUGGUUCUGAGCAAUGUUUCUGCCUUGAUUUUCAAAGAAGAGUGAUUUUAUGCCCCUUAUACCAGUAUCCUUUAGGUAUAUGUUCAAAGACUGCUUUUGUUCAGAUAGGGGAUCCUGCCUGCACCCUCGGGGAUAAUGUUAGCUCUUAGCUCUUAAGGUGAGGAGUCCCUUGGGACAUGCCUCUUGAUCUUCACCUUAGAUCUGUGGCCAUGUCUCCUACUCUACCCCACUUCUGCAUGACCCAAUCCCUUGGCUUCUCAGGCUUUAUAGAUCAACAACAGUCCAUCCCCUUUGCUCACCUUGCAUCUUCUGGCUGCCCUCGAAGUGGAAUCCAGGGCUCUUUCUCACCUUCUCUGAGUAUUAUCUCCAGGUCCACAGUAUCAAAAACUGACUGAGUACCUCCCUCCACAUGCCACAGACCCCCAUACUAAUAUAGAUCUUACCCUGAAGAAUCCCCUUCUCUAUUACUGAGAUCAUCAUUUAUAGAGCCUUUAAAAUGUGACAGUGGGCAUCACCCCACUGCAUCCACUUGACACUCAUGACACAUCGGCUACCAUGUCCUCCUGGGCUAAAUGUUAAAUGACUGGGUUAGGUCAUUGAACUUAUCUGGACAGCUACAGCAACUUCAAUCCUCCCAUCUUGCCGACACUUCUGUGAACCUGACCUCACCUCUACCCAUAGCAGAAAGACUUCCUGGCUGAGACCACCACAUCCUCUGAGUAAGCAUACACUCAGAGCCUAGAAAAGAUGCUCUUUUUUGCUGAAGGGGCAUAUCUUUCUUGCAAGGCUGUAUAAAUGGCAUU